AGGAAGCAGCUCCCCUGUCCUCCUGCGCAAUGCUGUGUGGAGCGUUGCCAUGGUAACGCGCGGCAACGCUCCACACAGCAUCGCGCGGGAGGACAGGGGAGCUGCUUCCU
rnacentral:miRNA from 1 species